AGAGUUUGAUCAUGGCUCAGGAUGAACGCUAGCUACAGGCGUUAACACAUGCAAGUCGAGGGGAAACGAUAUUGGAAGCUUGCUUCCGAUAGGCGUCGACCGGCGCACGGGGUGAGUAACGCGUAUCCAACCUGCCCACCACUUGGGGAUAACCUUGCGAAAGUAAGACUAAUACCCAAUGAUAGUCUCUAGAAGACAUCUGAAAGAGAUUAAAGAUUUAUCGGUGAUGGAAUGGGGAUGCGUCUGAUUAGCUUGUUGGCGGGGUAACGGCCCACCAAGGCAACGAUCAGUAGGGGGUUCUGAGAGGAAGGUCCCCCACAUUGGAACUGAGACACGGUCCAAACUCCUUACGGGAGGUCAGCA
rnacentral:rRNA from 1 species